rnacentral:rRNA from 1 species
GUAGUUAGCCGGGGCUUCCUCCUUGGCUACCGUCACUUUCUUCGUUGCCAAGGACAGAGGUUUACAAUCCGAAAACCUUCUUCCCUCACGCGGCGUUGCUGGGUCAGGCUUGCGCCCAUUGCCCAAUAUUCCCCACUGCUGCCUCCCGUAGGAGUUUGGACCGUCUCUCAGUUCCAAUGUGGCCGAUCACCCUCUCAGGUCGGCUACCCAUCGCUGACUUGGUGGGCCGUUACCUCACCAACUAUCUAAUGGGACGCGAGCCCACCUCUCACCGGAUUCCUCCUUUGACCUCUGCCCCAUGCGGGACUGUGGUCUUAUGCGGUAUUAGCACACCUUUCGGUGCGUUAUCCCCCUGUGAGAGACAGGUUGCUCACGCGUUACUCACCCGUCCGCCACUCGGUUGGCUUCCGUUGCCUUCCGCCAACCUCGUUCGACUUGCAUGUGUUAAGCACGCCGCCAGCGUUCGUCCUGAGCCAGGAUCAAACUCUGA